rnacentral:rRNA from 1 species
UACAGAGGUCUCAAGCGUUGUUCGGAUUCACUGGGCUUAAAGGGCGCGUAGGCGGGCUAGCCAGUCCGGGGUGAAAUCUUUCGGCUUAACCGGAAAAGUGCCUUGGAUACUGCUGGCCUUGAGGGAGGUAGGGGCAUGUGGAACUUCCGGUGGAGCGGUGAAAUGCGUUGAUAUCGGAAGGAACGCCGGUGGCGAAAGCGACGUGCUGGCCCUCUUCUGACGCUGAGGCGCGAAAGCCAGGGGAGCAAACGGGG